ACCGGCCGGAGGACUGACACCAACGAUAUCACCAACUUUCAAGUUAUCGUGUACAAAGUUGGAAACUACUCCCCCAGCGACUCGGCGUACAGAAAUGCGAAACUGAUUUCUACAAGUAUCAACACGAUUAGACAAUGAAUACUCUCUUAAUGUUUUAUGUGAUAAACCAGGUAUUUCCCAGAGCACACUGACAUAUUGCCCUGGGUGGGCAUGAGAAAUUCUGAAAGCUGGAUCUUUCGGACCCAAGUAAACUGAUUUUACGUCGGAAGAUUCAUUAAUAAGUUCUGUAACUUUGAAUUCCACGAACCCGUUCCAUGGCUGACUCUGAUAAACUUUUUUUUCAGAGUCAAUCAAAAUUUUUGCCAAGUUACCAUAUGCAGUAGUCCAUGCCUCUAAAAAUGCCGGGGUAGCAACAUCACUAGGUAGUAGUUCUUGCAUGGUGCUCAACAGACAAUGUCCCACUAUGGGAUAAUGUUCUGCUUUGAUCUGUAAACCAACAUGUUUGACCACAAUUUGAUCCAUAAAAGCCGAGAGCGAAGUGAGAUCAUCAAUGUUUUUAGCAUAAUUCAACAAAGCAAACGCUAAAAUCCUUGGUUGAGAUAAAGAAAUUUGAUGCGCUUUAUUAAAGUACGGGAGCACUUCCGGGUAGUUACCUAGCAUUUUUUGGUAGAAUGCUUUUGUCAAGUUUACCCCAGAUGAUUCAAGGAUUGGGAUUGAAGAACGUAUAUACUGCUUUUGCGAUUCAUUAAGUUCUUUUAUUUCAUAGCCUUCUGCUAGAUUUGCCUGUCGAUUUGUAUUAGCAACAUCAGCGUUUUCACGAUUAACCUCAACACUGGACAUUUUACUUUGGAAUCUCUAAUUCCAAACGGUUAUGCCAUAUAUAUAUUAAAUCAAUCAAGAAAAUAGUAAGGCUUUGAAUUCUUUUAACUUACAAUAUUAAUAAUCAAGAAGUAACCAAUAUUGAAAAGUUAACUCAUUUAUGACCGUUCUGCAGCUUUGGGUUUCUUUUAGGAGUCUCGGGAGACAGCUCGUUAACUAAUCCGGAUCAAGUUGCGUGUUAGCCACUCAGAAGCCAUUCAGGUAGGGAAGCUGUAUGCUACAAAAUCUUUUGCUGGCAUUCAGUCGUACGACGUUUCACUGCCAAUGGUAUAUUGGAGCAUUUCCACUUCGGGUUUGUCAUCACCGUCGGCUGCGACUUUUGAUUAAACAUUGACUUACUUCUAGAUCGUUCGGUAGAAGUCUCAGCCUCGUUGAUAGUGAGAACACGAAACCAAAGGCCUCAACCUCUUGUUAAAUAUGAUUACAAUGAAGCACAUUUCUUUAUAAAGCAUGAUAUACUAACUAACAUGAUUUGAGUAAUUCUUUUGUCCGCCGUUAUAGACUGUUUUGGAUCUUAUAAUGAAGCGCAACAACAUUUCUAAAAAGAUUCGUCAAAACAUUUAAACUAAACUGUUUGAGCUCCCAUUUAAACUCUCCCGCGUUUUGUUUUUAGAAUGUUAAAAAGUAAUGUGCAAAAUUUGGGUCCUAGGAACUUAACAGGUUCUAAUGAUUCUAAUGACAACUGAUUGAACUUCGACGGAACGUUUGUUUACAGUUUUGAAAUAAAUUUGCCAAAACAAUUAUCUGUUUAAUGAUUGCUGUUUUUUUCCCGAAGGAACACCUCAAAAUCUUUUGUAACAAUCAGUCUUAAAUAAUUUGCGUAAUUUUGCAGCAUAAUAAAUGAGAGUAGUAACCGUUA